rnacentral:rRNA from 1 species
CCUACGGGUGGCAGCAGUGGGGAAUAUUGGGUAAUGGGCGCAAGCCUGACCCAGCAACGCCGCGUGAAGGAAGAAGGCUUUCGGGUUGUAAACUUCUUUUCUCAGGGACGAAGAAAGUGACGGUACCUGAGGAAUAAGCCACGGCUAACUACGUGCAAGCAGCCGCGGUAAUACGUAGGUGGCAAGCGUUAUCCGGAUUUAUUGGGUGUAAAGGGCUUGUAGGCGGGAGCGCAAGUCAGAGGUAAAAACUCAGGGCUCAACCCGGGGCCUGGAUUUGACACUGUGUUUCUUGGGUGCUGGACAGGCAAUCGGAAUGCCGGGUGUAGCGGUGAAAUGCGUAGAUAUACGGAGGAACACCAGUGGCGAAGGCGGAUUGCUGGACAGUAACUGACGCUGAGGCGCGAAAGCGUGGGGAGCAAACAGGAUUAGAUACCCAGUAGUC